rnacentral:rRNA from 1 species
GGGUCAGUAGGUUGGUCGUGCCACCGGUACGUACUGGUCUCACUGAUUCCUCCUUCCUGAAGAACCGUAAUGCCAUUAAGUUGGUGUUGCGGGGAAGCAGGACUGUUACUUUGAAAAAAUUAGAGUGUUUAAAGCAAGCUAACGCUUGAAUACAUUAGCAUGGAAUAAUGAAAUAGGACGAUCGAUCCUAUUUUGUUGGUUUCUAGGAUUGACGUA